rnacentral:tRNA from 1 species
AAUGAAGUGUCUGACUAAAAGAGUUAUCUUGAUAGGGUAAAAUAUGUAAAUAAAAUUACCUUCAUUA